UACAGAGGUCCCAAGCGUUGUUCGGAUUCACUGGGCGUAAAGGGUGCGUAGGUGGCUACUGAAAGUUUGAUGUGAAAUCUCCGGGCUUAACCCGGAAAAUGCAUUGAAUACUGCAGAGCUGGAGGGUUGGAGGGGGGACUGGAAUUCUCGGUGUAGCAGUGAAAUGCGUAGAUAUCGAGAGGAACACCAGUGGCGAAGGCGAGUCCCUGGACAACACCUGACACUGAGGCACGAAAGCUAGGGGAGCAAACAGG
rnacentral:rRNA from 1 species